rnacentral:lncRNA from 1 species
CAGGAAGCUGCUUUAUUCUUGCUGAGAGACAGGGGCUGCUGCCCACACACAGACCCUGUGUCCACCCUGCAGAAAAGGCCAGGAGGGCCUGCAGAGCUGGGAAGCGCCACCCAAGGGUCUCAGUCACCAAGACUGCAGGAGAGGCAAGGCCAUGUCAGGCCUGGCAGCUGUGGCUGGGGCCAGGAGGGAGGGACCAGGCCCAUGUGGGAACAGGACAAAUGCCCAAGGCCACAUCCUUCGUCCACAGUCCUGAGGCUCCUGCCAGGCUGACAGGAAACAGCCCAGAGCUGAGGUCUUUGAGCCGGUCAUUCCAACAUUGCAAGCACCACCCAGUCCUCCUGGCUGAAGUUGAGUGAGGCACGUAAUCUUCCAGGUCAGCCAGUGUCAGCAUGCGGCCGUUGUGCGUGAGGAUCUUGGGGUCACGAUCCCCAAGGCUGUGUGUGUCCUGGGACUCCUCCGUCACAAAGGCGUCUCCGUCUUCCCCCUCUUCCUCUCCCGCCUCCUCCAUGGUGCCCUCCUCCUCCAGGCUGCCCAUGCCAGAAGCAGCCCAGUCCACACUGCCUCUGGCAUCCACGCGGAAGACAAGGGGCUCUCUGACGCCGACCAUGGCUGUGCCCUGGGCCCAGGCCUCCUGGGCCAGCAGCUUGUUGUUGGAGUUGUUGGAAUUGGGGUCCCCUCCGGGGGUCGCACCGGGCAGUGUGAAGAGAUGCCCCGAUGAGCUCCUGGGCACCUCUGUGGUGGGAGACACACCCUGCGGGCCCAUCUUCUUCACCCGGACUUCAAUGGUCUCCUCCACCUCCACCCACUUGGGCUGGGGCCCCGAGAGUCCGGGCAGAGCUGGAGAGUGGGCCUCGGCCUCCGUCACAUACAGUGUGGGCACCACGGGCUUCUGGCCUGGUUCUGCCUCCGGCCUGCGGGGCUGGCCAGCACCUGGCAGGUACAGCAGGUCGGGGGCCAGUAGGCCUGGCCUCAGCGGGCUGGCAGAGCAGCGGGAAGGUGAGCGGGAGGGGGACUUGCUGGGGGACCGUCGUUGGCCACGUGGGCUCUUCACCACAGUGGUGAUGGUCUCUUCUCUGGGGGAGGGAGGAGAGGGCCCGAGAAAAGAUGGGCACAGCGCCCAGGAUUGCCAGGGCAGCGUGAGAGCUCAGGUUAUUGUACCAGCAAGCCAGCAGUGAGAG